CUGCCGGUAAAGUGGCGGGGUCGUCAUCACACCCGUACAGGGGGAAGCCGGUGCAAUUCCGGCGCUGACCCCGCAACCGUGAGCCGUUCGUCACCGGACGGCGAGCCGGACUGCCCCGGACGGGACGUUGAC
rfam:Streptomyces sp. FXJ1.172 contig00020, whole genome shotgun sequence.